rnacentral:rRNA from 1 species
UGCGUAGGCGGCUUGGUAAGUCAGAUGUGAAAUCCUGGGGCUUAACCUCGGAACUGCAUUUGAUACUGCCAGGCUAGAGUACUGGAGAGGAGACUGGAAUUUACGGUGUAGCAGUGAAAUGCGUAGAUAUCGUAAGGAAGGCCAGUGGCGAAGGCGAGUCUCUGGACAGUAACUGACGCUGAGGCACGAAGGCUAGGGGAGCAAACG